CACUUCGCCGUAACAACCCAGAGGAUUAGGGACGAUAUCAGUCAUAUUAAGUCCUGAGAAACCCACCUUGAUGAGCAGAAUAUUUGUUUACGGAACAUUGAAAAAUGGUCAACCAAAUCACUUCCGUUUGAUAGAUCCUGGUACAGGCACCACUUUAUUCGUCGGUGUCGGACAAACCGUGGAGAAGUACCCGCUGGUGAUUGAGAGAUCAUGGAAUAUGCCUUGUCUCUUACACGUGCCAGGAACUGGAUGGCAUGUGAAGGGUGAAAUCUAUGACGUGGAUGAUGAGAAAAUGAAAUUCCUGGAUUACUUUGAAGAUCACCCUGAAAUGUACACACGCACCGUGAUAUUGGCGGAAUACACAAACUCAAAAGAUACACAUUGUAGCGAUUCAGAUUCUCAGUCGAACGCGCCAAAAUCCAAAGAAAACCAACUAAACACCGCUCCGAGUGUUGGUGCUAUUUUUAUAACGACCGCGAUUCUGUGCGUGACCUUCCUCACAUUGAUGUAUAUGACUCUAAGGGAGACCAUGGCUUGGAAUAGUCUCUGCAUAGUUCAAAGCUACAAAAUUGUCAUGCCUUAG
rnacentral:sRNA from 1 species